UACAGGGGGUGCAAACGUUGCUCGGAAUUAUUGGGCGUAAAGCGCACGUAGGCGGUUUGUUAAGUCGGAUGUGAAAUCCCUCGGCUCAACUGAGGAAGUGCAUCCGAAACUGGCAGGCUUGAGUACUAAAGAGGGUCGCGGAAUUCCCGGUGUAGAGGUGAAAUUCGUAGAUAUCGGGAGGAACACCGGUGGCGAAGGCGGCGACCUGGGUAGAUACUGACGCUGAGGUGCGAAAGCCAGGGGAGCAAACGGG
rnacentral:rRNA from 1 species